rfam:Listeria monocytogenes str. 4b F2365, complete genome.
GUAUUAAUAAAAUUCUUGUUUUUAAGUAAAACAGAAAUAACUUUUAACUAAAAGGAAAGUUCCUGAUUUUUUAUGAAACAUUGUGAAAGAAUGAAUAUUUUUUCACAAACUCUCUUAAAACCCAUGUUUUCAAUGAGGAUUUUGUGGUAAUAACUGGAGAGGCUACGUAAUUGGUUAAUAGGAAUUUAGAAAAAAGCUUCCGGAAUCUGCUUCUUUCUAUAGAAAGACUUUUCUUUUUACUACGCUAUUAUAAUUAAUACACAAUCAGGAUGGCAGUUUUAAAAGAAUCCAUUUAGAUGGGUAAAUGACCGGACGAGCGUUACAUAAAACGCAUACCUAACUAAUGAAGAAUUUGAAACUGUACAAUGUGAAUGACGAAAGGGUGGAUACGAAAUGGCUUCUAAAACAAAGAAGGCUAUUAUCGACGUAAAGAAACAAUUUGAGGCUGUUCAUAAACAAUUUGAAUUAGUUCAAAUUUUGAAUGAAAAAGGAGAAAUCGUUAAUCCAGAUUUAAUGCCGGAUUUAACU